GCCAGGCAUGGUGGCCCAUGCCUAUAGUUCCAGCUACUUGGGAGGCUGAGGCAGGAGGAUGGCUUGAGCCCAGGAGUUCUGGGCUGUAGUACACUAUGCCAGUUGGGCGCCCAUACUAAGUUUGACAUCAAUAUGGUGACCUCCUGGGAGUGGGCAGCGAGGGGGCGACCAGGCUGCCUAAGGAAGGGUGAACUGGCUCAAGCUGAAAAUGGAGCAGGUCAAAACUCCCAUGUCAAUCACUAGUGGGAUCACACCUGUAAAUAGCCACUGCACUCCAUCCUGGGCAAGCCACAAAAGCCAAAA
ensembl:misc_RNA Metazoa_SRP Metazoan signal recognition particle RNA